AGACUUUGUAUAGGAUAAAGAGGAUAGAAUCUUACUCUCUCUUUCAUAUUUUGCCCCUCCCUCUUUCAAUACACAACCUUCAUUUCUAGCAACCUCAGGCCAACCCCAUUCUAGCACUGGCAGACACCAUCCUGCUCCUUGUCUGUUCGGCUCGUACUCCCUACCAAAAAUCCUACCGUUUACUCUGCAGCAAGCCGUCUGUCACCAGUUUCUUCCUUGUAUCCAUCCAACCUUCUUCUUCAACUGCUUUCCUCAGAUCUUGAGGCAUGAACUUGGAAGUGAAUCUCCCCUCCGCUUACUGGCUUGUAUUUUACAUUGAAGAACGUAAACUGAAAGCUGUCCUCCAGGCAUGCAUCUGUGUGCCCCGAUAGUUAAUGAAUGCCAAGUCCAUGGAACCAGACUACAGAUUGAUUGAGGUAAAAUCACUGAACUGCAUACGUGUAUCAUGCAGACGUUGUGU
rnacentral:lncRNA from 1 species